CUCAUACUCAACCACUUCAUGAACCAAGGAGCAAUGGGCUGCAUACAAUUAUGGGAUGCCCUCUGCUCCGUGAGGUUGCAGUACGAGCAACUUCAGCAAUGGAUCCUAGAAAAUGGAGAAGCGGUGUCAACAGUUCGAAAAAUGAAGAAUUAUCUGACGUCAUGGAUCGGCGAGAACCCGCUGCCUCUUCUAAAGCAUCUGAAAAGGAAAGGACUGAUUUCGAGUUUCAUCUUGACGAACGCUACAUUAAUCACCAAUGGAGCAGAGCAUACAGAGCUGCUGCUCAACAACUUCAUAGAAAGAGGCGAUGAUGACUGCCUCAAGCUGCUGCUUGCUCUAAAAGCUGAGCAGGACCAGUAUCCUACAUUGAAGAAAUGGCUGGAUUCUCUUGAAUUCCUCUAAAUCCAACACGGAGAAGCUGAUGAAGGCACUGAAGAAAGACUUGACACUUCUACAUUCCAGCAGACGAGAGACACUGACCAGUAGUGAGGUCAUGGGUACAUGAUUUCACAACAUGCUAUAGGUACAUUAGAACCCCUCUUAACGACCACAUGUUGACGACUAAGAACCCAAUGUGUAGUGCAUA